rnacentral:rRNA from 1 species
CCUACGGGUGGCAGCAGUGAGGAAUAUUGGUCAAUGGGCGCGAGCCUGAACCAGCCAAGUAGCGUGAAGGAUGACUGCCCUACGGGUUGUAAACCGCUUUUGCACGGGGAUAACACCCUCCACUUGUGGAGGUCUGCAGGUACCGUGCGAAUAAGGGCCGGCUAAUUCCGUGCCAGCAGCCGCGGUAAUACGGAAGGCCCGAGCGUUAUCCGGAUUCAUUGGGCUUAAAGGGAGCGUAGGCGGGCGUUCAAGUCAGCUGUAAAAUCGCGCGGCUCAACCGCGCCCCGCAGUUGAAACUGGACGCCGUGAGUUCACAACAGGCAGGCGGAAUUCGUGGUGUAGCGGUGAAAUGCAUAGAUAUCACGAGGAACCCCGAUUGCGAAGGCAGCCUGCCGGGGUGCGACUGACGCUGAGGCUCGAAGGUGCGGGUAUCAAACAGGAUUAGAUACCCCAGUAGUC